UGGAGAUAGCUGGUUCUCUCCGAAAUAGCUUUAGGGCUAGCGUCGACAUAAAGAUUCUUGGAGGUAGAGCACUGUUUGGGUGAGGGGUCCAUCCCGGAUUACCAAUCUCAGAUAAACUCCGAAUGCCAAUGAAUUAUGGUCGGCAGUCAGACUGCGAGUGCUAAGAUCCGUAGUCGAAAGGGAAACAGCCCAGACCACCAGCUAAGGUCCCAAAAUAAUUGUUAAGUGGAAAAGGAUGUGGGGUUGCACAGACAACUAGGAUGUUAGCUUGGAAGCAGCUAUUCAUUCAAAGAGUGCGUAAUAGCUCACUAGUCGAGUGACCCUGCGCCGAAAAUGUACCGGGGCUAAAACAAUUUACCGAAGCUGUGGAUACCUUUAUAGGUAUGGUAGGAGAGCGUUCUAUGUGUGAAGAAGGUGUACCGUGAGGAGUGCUGGAACGCAUAGAAGUGAGAAUGCCGGUGUGAGUAGCGAAAGAUAGGUGAGAAUCCUAUCCAUCGAAAGCCUAAGGUUUCCAGGGGAAGGCUCGUCCGCCCUGGGUUAGUCGGGACCUAAGGAGAGACCGAAAGGUGUAUCCGAUGGACAACAGGUUGAUAUUCCUGUACUAGAGUAUGAAGUGAUGGAGGGACGCAGUAGGCUAACUCGUGCGUACGAAUGGAUGUACGUCUAAGCAGUGAGGCGUGGUAUGAGUCAAAUGCUUAUACCUCUAACGUUGAGCUGUGAUGGGGAGCGAAGUUUAGUAGCGAAGUUAGUGACGUCACACUGCCAAGAAAAGCUUCUAGCGUUUAAACAUACUCUACCCGUACCGCAAACCGACACAGGUAGUCGAGGCGAGUAGCCUCAGGUGAGCGAGAGAACUCUCGUUAAGGAACUCGGCAAAAUGACCCCGUAACUUCGGGAGAAGGGGUGCUGACUUUACGUCAGCCGCAGUGAAUAGGCCCAAGCAACUGUUUAUCAAAAACACAGCUCUCUGCUAAAUCGAAAGAUGAUGUAUAGGGGGUGACGCCUGCCCGGUGCUGGAAGGUUAAGAGGAGGAGUGAGAGCCCCGAAUCGAAGCCCCAGUAAACGGCGGCCGUAACUAUAACGGUCCUAAGGUAGCGAAAUUCCUUGUCAGGUAAGUUCUGACCCG
rnacentral:rRNA from 1 species